rnacentral:lncRNA from 1 species
CAAAACAGAAUAGAUAAAAGUAGAUCACAGAUAAUUAAUUUUCUUACUUGUUGGUUAAAAUAGUUUUUAUGAGCUAUACCCUGUAUCUAAGCCUUAUAGAAAGUUUAUAUUCUGUUUCAUUUGGUUGCCUAGCCUUUAUUAUGGAACCACAAAAUGCUUGGAAGUGAUUCCAUAUGUCACUGUCUGCUGUAACUAAGGUAAUUAUAUUCUUGGUGUUUAAAGUAUCACUGGCAUGGUUUUCAAGAGCUGUACGUUGGGAGGCCCAUCUUGGAUAUUUAAACAAUGGGUGUUCAGCAUCAUCUAGCUCUUCUUUACAAUACCAGCAUUGGUUAUUGUUUUCUUUAUUUAUUGUUAUUCUGUAUAUGUUAAAGAUACCAUGUCUGGUAAGCAUUUGCAUUGUACAAUGUUUAAUAAGUUUUUUAUUCUUUAUAAAGAUGGCUGCAUUGUCUAUCAAUUUUCUUGUCUAAUUAUCUUUCUUAUACAGGGUCCAUUCCUUCCUCUGAUCCUCUAUUGCUGUUUCUUCCAAUUAUUCUAUCUUUUACCUGAGUGACAUUUGCACCUUAUCAGUUAUGUUUCCUACCGUCUUUAAUGUGUGCCUUUUUUCACCUCAUACACCUUUCCUUGCAGCUGUGCUUUAAUGUAUAUUGACAUGUUGCCAGUAUAAGCUAUUGAUGUCCAUAUUAGGGUCGAUCUUUGUGCUUUUUUAAAUAUUUUUUACUUUUAGUCAUUUUUAGAACCUCAGCCCAUACAGGAGAGGUUUAUAGUAUCACCAAUUCCCAGACAUUGUAGUACAAUUUUCUAACGAGAUUAGUGGGGCCAUUUACGUUGGUAAGGAGUCCUCUCAGAACUCCGACUAAUGCAUCGGCUCUAUCGCAUACUGUUUCCAGAAAUCUGCAAAUUUGCUAACUUUUGUGAUGGCAUCGACCAUGCUCCUGCAUCUGUGAAAACCAUAUCGGUUUUUGUGAUGUGGAUCCUGUUCCAGUUAUUUCUUAAUAGAGGAUUUAAAAGUAUUCUCCCAUACCUUGCUCAUCACAGGUAGGAUACUUAUGGGGCAAUAGAAAGUAGGAAGGAGAGGAUCCUUUCCUGAUUUUGCUAGCAAUACUACUCUGGAACCCCAUCCAUGCCAGCCGUCUUUGUAGAAUUUAAUUGUCUGAUGGCAUUCGCUAACUCCUCCAUUUGGACGGUGACACAUACAUUGUCGCUUGUUACUUCCUCGUAUUUGCUAUCCCAUCUCCUUUCUUCGGCAGUUAUGUUUAUUUUUGUGGUGAAAAGUGUAUCUAUAAUGCUAUUAAUUUUAUUUGAGUUCGUUAUCUGUUGGUUUCUUGUUUUUUAGUUUACUUAUAAUGCUUCUAUAGGGUUUACCCCAUGGAUCCCAUUUUAAGGUUGCAACGAAUUCCUUCCAUGCUUGCUUUUUGUUUUUCUGAAUUAAUAUUUUCAGUUUCUUCUUUUUUUUUGCUUACAUAUCUUAGUAAGAUCCUCUGCAUUGCUGACUAAGAUUAAUACAGGUUCAUUGGGCAACCCCUCUACUUUUAUUCACUAUUUCUCUAAGUGAGGCUAUAUCCUCAUUCUACCAAUAGUUUUCGUUCUUCUUACCCCUUGAUGGGAAGACUUUUUUAAUUUGACUUCACACGUUUUUUAUAUAAUAUUUUGGAGAACUUCUCCAUGAUUCGUCCUGUCAAUUAUAAAAUUUAUUAUUAGAUUGUUUUUUAUUUCGUCAAAUUUAUUAGUAAACCUGUCCGAAUCAAAGGCCUCUGUCGAAAAUUUAUAAUGACCUCAAUUUCUGUUGAUCGUCGUAUUUUAAAAUUCGUGUAAUGCAUAAAGGUGACCUGAAGUAUUAAAAAUUUGUGGGAUGUUUGUUCUUUUAUAAAGCCUAGUUAACCCUAGCUAAACCUAGCGAAGGUACUACCUCUUUUGUCGGUUUUAUCUCUGCCCCGCGCUGCCGAUUUUGCAUUAUAAUCGGCAGUAAUAAUUAUUUUUCUUUGUUUUUUAUAUAUCUUUUUAAUUAAACUUUCUAGUUUAUUAAUGUAUUUGUAAUAGCUAUCUUUGUUGAUGUUAGGGAACAAUAUCCACUCACACAGUAAAAUUCUCCUAUUCUUAUUCCCACCAUAUCGUGUUCCUGAAUUAUGGUAUCUUCACAUGGGUAUGCGCCAUUAAAUAACAUAACCCAUAUGGAUGAAUCUCCUUUUGUGUCGUUGUAUCAGUACGUCUGUUUUUUAUUAAGUUCAGAGAUGGUAACAAUACUGCUCUAACUUCGCAAGCGUAUUGGUACAUUAAAUCCUGCGCUAACUUGCAGCGAUUUAAAUUGAUCUGCAAGAUCUUUAUCUUUUUAGUCUAAUAUUGCCCUCUUUCAUCGCUCUUCUGUAUAUAAUGCACGUCAAUGACCCAGUGACGUGUAUUUUAUUUUUUGAUUCUUGUGCACUGCACGUGGUGCAGUACGAUUCGUUAUUGCAAUAUGCCUUAUUGUUGUCCCUAGCUCCACAUUUCUUGCAGAGCUCCUUUCCUGGGCUGACUUAUAUGAUUUGAAGUGUGUCCAAUUUUAUGGCACUUAAAACAUCUACUGAUUUUCGGCAAAAUUGUUAUAUUUGUUAUUGUUAAUCCCGUUCUGAUUUUUAGAGUGUUAUAAUCAGUAGGUACAGUUGAUGUGGGGUAACAACUGUUGUGUUCCCCAUAGAAUUAUUUGUAGUGUCUUGACGUCGAUACAGUUCGUGUUACUUAUGUCUAAAUCUCGACAAAUAUCACUACUGAGCUCUUAUUUGCUCGUCAGUGGAUCAAUGCCACCGUUUUUAGUUUCUCAAAUAUUUCACUCGUUGGUGCUUUAGCUUUUAAUUCCUACGCCUGUCGUUUCCUUGAGAGCUUCCUUUGCUCCUAUAAGUUCUCUAUAGGCUUCGAGUCAUUCUCUUCCUCUUUCGACCUCAACGAGUAUUGCCUCCGGUCUAUUGUGGAUUCUUUGCUGAUUUCUUGCUUCUCUAAUGUUCCUUUUGGGUUGAUGUUGAUAUUCGUUGAUUUCUUUUCUUUUUAAUCUUUUUGCAUACGUCCGCGUAUGCCAACUCUCCUUUCCUUGCUCUUUUCCUUAAAUUCCUCCUCUUUGUUUUCUGCUGGGAAGGUCUGUAUCCUUUCACUGAGUUGGUAGUGUUCUUUCCUUUUUGUAUCAGUCUGUAUUUUGUAGCUACUAUGUUCUGUUUUAGGAGGCGACGUUUGGGUUACCACCAGCUUUCUAUGAAUAACCAUUUCCUUGAUCGAUAUAAUCCUUGCUCCUCUUUUUUUAUUUAAUCUUUGGAUCCACUCAGAAAUGCCACUUGCAUGUCCGUUAUUUUUAGUGACUGGCUAUUUCCUGAUCUUUUUUGGAUUAUAAGUGGAAUCUCGUAUUUAUUUUGUUUGUGUUUAAGAUCACUUCGAUUAGUGUAUUAAUUAACACAUCCACCUCCAAUUGUUUAAUGGAGUAUUCUAUUUCUCUUUUUGAUUCUCCUUUCUUCCUCACUAUCCCUUUUCGUAAGAUCUUUUAUAUUUUUCUGCCUCCUCGUAGCCGAUAGAUUAAUGGUUCCUUAAUUCUUUUUGUUUUUAUCGCUAUUAGGGUGCUAUAAUCAACUAUGUUCGGAACAUUUCAAAGGUAUGUCGAUAUCCAAUUCACUUUCAUCAGUAUAUUUGUUUUAGUUAACUGGACUUCUCGCUAGGCUUCUUUCUGGAAUAAAGGGAUUGUCAUCUUCCUUUGUUCCUUUUCUUAACAAGGUUAAAUUCUUACUCUCCGAUACUGUAAUAUCCGAAAUGAUCUCUUCCGUCUAUAAAUCUUUUUGUUCCCCCGUGUAGACGUGUCCCCAGUGUAGGAAGCUUUAAAGAAAAGUUGCAUUCAGUGGUGAAAAAGAAUUCAUGCUGAAUUGUAGCAUAUCUAAGAAGUCCUUAGACAAAACCUUAUAUUGUAAUAUGUUCUACAUCAACAUAUAUUUGAAAUAUUUUUAAUAAAUCUGAAGAUACGGAUAUUAGUUAUUGUUUCAACCGUUCGCGGAGAGACGCGAUCGCGAGAUAACGCGUCAACGAGAGUCGUAAAUUCUCGUUACGAUUAAACAAUCGACGCCACGAACUGAUUAAUCCCCUAUUUCUAUUACGAGAAUAGAGGUGGUUAGGUUUGAGUGCAUACGAACAACUACACUGGAUUUGUUAAUAAAAGUUUAAAUAAAAAAUAACGAAUCAACAACUUCAGUCAACGAUAAACAAUUAAAAACGAAAAUAUAACAGUCAAGAUUCGGUUAAUGGUUUGUUUAUAACGAGACCUGUCGCACUUCGCAGCUUGAGAUAGACGUUAGGCGUUAGAUUUGAUUCAAUGUGUAACGUUCGACGCGUCACAAGGAACUGUUCGUCUUUAGAUGAUUUCUUUGUCUCAUUUUUAAGAUGACCCCCACUAUACUUAGGUCACGCCACCGUUCGCGCCUAUGAUCACGUAUGUCUGUUCUUGCGUGGAAAACGUAACGGACAAAAUUCGACGUUUCGAGAGCUCGCUGCUUGGCGACAACUAUGCGCUCGUCGAUACAUUGUAUAUGAUCCGGCGGUCAGAUAAGACGAUCUGACUGCGACGUUGUAGGGCCGCGAGCGACGGUUAGAAAAUACAGCCUGUGGUAAGCCUCGUGGCGUAACAGUUAUCAUAUUAUUGAAAAUUUUAUGUAGGAUCACUGGUGGCAUAGCAACGUUUUGAGCUUGUAACAUCUGUCCAUGCGAUUGGGAAUAUGAAUAAUUUGUGGAAAUCGUUAUGAAGUUAAAAAAAA